rnacentral:rRNA from 1 species
GAUGAACGCUGACAGAAUGCUUAACACAUGCAAGUCUACUUGAACUUCGGUUUGGGUGGCGGACGGGUGAGUAACGCGUAAAGAACUUGCCUCACAGAUAGGGACAACAUUUGGAAACGAAUGCUAAUACCUGAUAUUAUGAUUUUAGGGCAUCCUAGAAUUAUGAAAGCUAUAUGCACUGUGAGAGAGCUUUGCGUCCCAUUAGCUAGUUGGAGAGGUAACGGCUCACCAAGGCGAUGAUGGGUAGCCGGCCUGAGAGGGUGAUCGGCCACAAGGGGACUGAGACACGGCCCUUACUCCUACGGGAGGCAGCAGUGGGGAAUAUUGGACAAUGGACCAAGAGUCUGAUCCGGCAAUUCUGUGUGCACGAUGAAGUUUUUCGGAAUGUAAAGUGCUUUCAGUUGGGAAGAAAAAAAUGACGGUACCAACAGAAGAAGUGACGGCUAAAUACGUGCCAGCAGCCGCGGUAAUACGUAUGUCACAAGCGUUAUCCGGAUUUAUUGGGCGUAAAGCGCGUCUAGGUGGUUAUGUAAGUCUGAUGUGAAAAUGCAGGGCUCAACUCUGUAUUGCGUUGGAAACUGUGUAACUAGAGUACUGGAGAGGUAAGCGGAACUACAAGUGUAGAGGUGAAAUUCGUAGAUAUUUGUAGGAAUGCCGAUGGGGAAGCCAGCUUACUGGACAGAUACUGACGCUGAAGCGCGAAAGCGUGGGUAGCAAACAGG